rnacentral:lncRNA from 10 species
UGCGGUUUUACGUAAAUGGGACCAUUUCAUACCUGGUGCUCUGGAACCCACAUUUUUCAUGCAGAAGGUUGGAAGGAUGUCCUUCCAGCCGAAAGUCCACAUCCCGGGGGAUCAGGACAGAGCAGGGCCGGGUCAGGAGAUCCAGAAGCCCCGGGACAGAAGGUACGGGAGGGACAGGAGCAGGGUGGGCGCUGACCCUUGAGACAGCAAUCGCAGGAGGUCUGAGCCGCAGCAGGUGUCAACAAGAGGAUGGGCCAGAGAUGCAGAGCAUCCACCCCAGGCCACACAGCAGUGGCCAGAGGGUCCCAGGCCCCAGUGCUAGGCCUCUUCCUCUUCCACUGAGGUCACAGCUGAAGCUGGGUCAGCUCCGUGAGAGUGAGGGGUGGCGGAUGUUGUACUGACUUCCUUGGCUCAAUGUGACGUCAGGGAGAUUCACCCAUGUUGUUGUAGAAUCAGCUCAGAUGCAGUGCACUGGAGGUGGAUAAGCAGAAUGUGGCCUGGCCGUGGGAUGGGAGGGUACCCUGGAGCAGUAAGAAAGGGCCGUUAGUCACCUGAAAAAUACGCUUACAGAGACUCAGAGAAGCACCUGAGGCAGGAGCCAGGGACCCAGCCCUACAACAUCAGAGAAGACUCCAUUCUGGACCAAAAGGUUGCCCUGCUCAAGGCAUAAUGGGGCCACCCGUGGGCAUCCACAGUUUGCAGGGUGUUCCGGAAGGUUCUUGUCACUGUGAUUGGAUGCUGGAUGCCGCCUGAUAGACAUGCUGGCCUGGCUGAGAAACCCCUGAGCAGGUAACCCAGGGAAGAGAAGGAAGCCAGGCCUGGAGGUCCACGGCAGUGGGAGUGGGGCUCACUGGCUUCCUGUGGGAUGACUGGAAAAUGACCUCGCUGCUGUUCCCUGGCAUGACCCUCUUUGGAAGAGUGGUUUGGAGAGAGCCUUCUAGAAUGACAGACUGUGCGAGGAAGCAGGGGCAGGGGUUUCCAGCCCGGGCUGUGCGAGGCAUCCUGGGGCUGGCAGCACCUUCCCGGCUCACCAGUGCCACCUGCGGGGGAGGGACGGGGCAGGCAGGAGUCUGGGAGGCGGGUCCGCUCCUCUUGUCUGCGGCAUCUGUGCUCUCCGAGAGAAAACCAAGGUGUGUCAAAUGACGUCAAGUCUCUAUUUAAAAAUAAUUUUGUGUUUUCUAAAUGGAAAAAGUGAUAGCUUUGGUGAUUUUGUAAAAGUCAUAAAUGCUUAUUGUAAAAAAUACAGGAAACCACCCCUCACCCUGUCCACUUGGGUGAUCAUUCCAGACCCCUCCCCAAACAUGCAUAUGUACCUGUCCGUCAGUGUGUGGAUGUAUGUUUACAGUUCUACAUAAAUGGGAUCAUUUUAUACAUGGUGCUCUGGAACCCACAUUUUUCAUGCAGUCAUUUGCAGUGAAUUAUUUAUUGUGAUAAUAAAUAGCAUUAGAAUACAA